AGGGAAUCUUCCGCAAUGGACGAAAGUCUGACGGAGCAACGCCGCGUGAGUGAAGAAGGUCUUCGGAUCGUAAAACUCUGUUGUUAGGGAAGAACAAGUAUCGUUCGAAUAGGGCGGUACCUUGACGGUACCUAACCAGAAAGCCACGGCUAACUACGUGCCAGCAGCCGCGGUAAUACGUAGGUGGCAAGCGUUGUCCGGAAUUAUUGGGCGUAAAGCGCGCGCAGGCGGUCUUUAAAGUCGGAUGGGAAAGCCCACGGCUCAACCGUGGAGGGUCAUUGGAAACUGGAAGACUUGAGUGCAGAAGAGGAGAGUGGAAUUCCACGUGUAGCGGUGAAAUGCGUAGAGAUGUGGAGGAACACCAGUGGCGAAGGCGGCUCUCUGGGCUGUAACUGACGCUGAGGCGCGAAAGCGUGGGGAGCAAAC
rnacentral:rRNA from 1 species